CAAUUUCACAGGAGAUUCAUAGAUUUUGAUGACUAUGAAUCAUAUCUUAAGAAUUUGUGGCUACCUUUGAAGCACAAAACCACGGGAUGUGUCUGAGUUACUCAGGAUCAAUGUUAUUUCUGUGGUUCAGUUUCCCAAAGAUCUGACUGAGCUGAAAAUGGACCAUGCUCACCAAGACCACUGCUGCUGUGCUGUAAGAAGCCCAAGCCCAACCACUGAGUGAUUAACCAGCAUGUGGAGAGAGGCCUUAGACGAUGAGAUGUCAUCACUGAUGUUUUGCUCUCAGCAUCUGAAUGCAGCUGCAUGAGUGACCUCAACUACUACAACACUUAGCAGAAGAAUGGCCCUGCUGAACCUGGUUGGCCCAUAAAUACAUGAAAACUUUUUAAAAAUGCUAUUGUUUUAAGCUAGUAAGUUUUGAGAUGGUUUGUUACACAGUAAUACAUAACUAAAACAAAGAUAGACAAAUAAAUGUAGGAGUUCAAUUCACUGGCUAUAAAAUAGAUAAGUGAGAGAUCAUAGGUGGCUGUCUACUCUUAUAUGGAGGAAUCAGAAAAGGCUUCCAUGGAGAGAUGAUAUUCUACUUGAACUUUGAGAGAUGAAAAUGUUUCUGGACAGAUGAGGGAGAGUCUCUUCGAUGGAAUGAAUAUUCCAGAGGAUGACUUGGAGGCCAGGAAUAAUAUGACAUUCUCAAGUGAACUGAUAACCUAAUAUUGACAACGGUUUUAAUUUGAUGGCUUAGAGAGAAACUGUGUAAAAUCAGUAGGAAUAAUAACAGGAAUACCAUACUUGUCUUUCUUUUGUAUCAUUUUAUCAGGAGAGAAGACCUUGUAAUUGACACAUUUCACCUAUUUACGUUCUACAGUGCCAACAUUUUCUCAAGGACUAAUGAGACAAAAGGAACUGCGUUUGUUGAAAGGCAGCGUCUGAUCCUCAUUUACUAUUCUAACUAAAUGAUUAAUUCAUUCCAGAAACAAAAACAAAGACACAGUCAUAUUAUAAACAUGAAUUCCUCAAGAAACCCGUCUAUGGACCACCUAGGAGGCACUUGGGGACCACCGGUCAGGAUUGGUUUGAGCAAGAUUAUGAAAUGGUUGGAGUUUAUCUUGGUGUUCCCAGGCUCUCAUUUUUGUGUCUUUCAAUCUGCUUCAUGUCUCAGUAGCACUAGGCUCUCCACUUUUCUGUGAAAAUCUGCUUCUCAGAAAAGAUCAGAUGCACGUGUUCUUACUUAGAAGUAUGAUCCCCAGAAGUGGGCUAUUGUUUCCAAGAAGGAUAUCCAUUUUACUUCUGAGAAGACAAGGUUUUAAGCUACAGGAAUGAUUCUGCGAUGGCGUUUUUUUUUUUUGUUUGUUUGUUUGUUUGUUUGUUUGUUUUUAAGUAAUUUAGUGUGAAAGAAUUUGCAGACAGGGAAGGGGAGAAAACAUGUUGCCUUCUCACUUCCCCUCUAAUCACGUCCUGAAUUAAGAGACUGCUUAUCUUUUAGAGUGAAUCCAUUGGACGAGUCAUUAAAGGAAGUUUGCCAUGUUUAAGCCACACAGCCAAGUGUUGUGGGGGAUACAAUAGUUAUAAUAAAACUAAUCCCCACCCUCAAACAUCUCGCUGUCUAGUAGAAGAGAGAAGAAACAACAACUGAUAACAAUAAACUAAGGCAGAAUAAAUCAUAGAUAAAACAUAUACAAAAUACUAUAUGAGAGCCCCUCAAAAGAAAAUGAUUAUUUCUAGAUGAUGAAAGUUGUGAAAGUGGACUAGUGGUCAGAGGUGGGUGGGAAUAGGGAAGGGCAGGAGGAAAUGUGUGGCCAGUACUUUCAACCCUACCUAUGAUGCAUUGGAAAAUGGAGGCCCAUAAAGGUAAGUAACUUCCCAAGGUAAACUAGUUAGUGACUGGCAUGGCAGGAACUUAAGGAGAGUGAAGGAGUAUGGAGGGAUUUAGUGGAAAGUGGUGUAUGGAUCAGAUUUUAAUUCUGUGCUAAGGAAUUUAAUUUAAUAUUCUGGGAAUAAGGGGAGCUUUUGAAGGUCUUUUUUUUGUUUGUUUGUGGGGUGGAGUGUGUUGCUGGGUGAAAUAUGACAUGAUAGAUACAUAAGAUAAUUUACUUGAUAUUGCGAAGGAUGAAUUAGAAAGAAAAGAGUUUGCACGCAGGGAGACAUAUUACAAUGACUCAUCCACCCAUUUAUCUACCUUUCAACAAAAAUUUAGUCAGAAUCUACUGUUUCCCAGGCAUUACAAAAUGUUGUGGCAACAAUCUGGUGAAAGAGUGUGAGAUAAGAAAGUGAGUGAGCUAGAAAGUUCGCAGUAGUGAUUUAAUGUAGGGCUGGGACCGUCCUUUUUAUGUUUGCCCUUUGGUGUUUUUCUCAAAUGUAGGCAUGGUCCUUUCACCACUGUCCAAGUUACCUCUCUGUAAGCCACUGGCUACCUGGCUUUGUAUCAUCUUAUCGGGGAAAAGUGACCUCAUGGCCACUGGCUUGCUGUAAGAAGAAGGGGUGUGGGUGAUGGGGAGACUCUGGCCACCAGUAUUGGAUGGAAGUGGAGCAUCUUCCCUGAAGCCCAGAGAGAGCAGAGCCUUCGACAUGCCCUCUCCAUCUCACUCACUUUUCCCUCCCUGAUAAUACCUUGUGAUUUUCUCUGAAUGUCUUGUUCCCAGGACUUGCUGUCUCUGCAGAUUGAUAGGGACCUACCAUUUGGACUGAGGAUCAAAGAAAUAGUACAGAAUGAAUGUCUAAAUACAAAAAUUAACCUCAAAACAUCUAAAUCACACAGGCAAAUGAUGCCAGCCUUUCUUAGCUUUGGGGAAUGCUCUCUCUUCAUUAGCGCUACCUGAAAAUGCAGUCAAAGAUGGCGUUGAUCAAAAGGGCUAUCUCAGCUGCAGGGGCUACAGGUCACUAAGGAGAGUGAUGGAGGUGAGUAGUGUGUUCCGGGGUGUGAACUGAAGGGGAAAAUGGCAGGGUGAAGCAGCCAUCCAAAGAUCUUCAGGGCUAUUGCCAUAUUACCAGUUUGCAUCUAUUUCUUUCAAAUUUGUUGAUAUUCUUGGUUCUCUUUUACCGUAUGACUUCACUUUUCUACCCUUUCUUUAAAAUGAGUACCAUAUCCAAAG
rnacentral:lncRNA from 10 species